CCGAGUUUACAACUCCCAAAACCCCUGUGAACAUACCACUUGUUGCCUCGGCGGAUCAGCCCGCUCCCGGUAAAACGGGACGGCCCCGCCAGAGGACCCCCUAAACUCUGUUUCUAUAUGUAACUUCUGAGUAAAACCAUAAAUAAAUCA
rnacentral:misc_RNA from 1 species